CGGAGGAGCCUGAUGUGGGGCUCGAUCCCGUAACGCCGGGAUCACGCCCUGAGCCGAAGGCAGACGCUUAACCGCUGUGCCACCCAGGUGCCCCUGACUUUCUUUUUAAUUAAAAAUAUCAAUGUUUCAUCAGUCAAUUUUUUACCUUUUUCAGAACGUAUUUGGAGAAAUCCAUUGCUCCAUGGAUAUACGCCUGUCAGUGCUGUGGCUUUGUUACGUCUCCUGUCAUCCUACCCUGAGCUGCCGGGAGUGCUCAUGACCCAUGUAUGAAGCCCAGCUUCAAACCCUAGGGGUUCAAGAAGCUGCGAGGAAUCCGUGGUGGUUCACCGUCAAUAAUUUUGCAGAUGAAGAAUAUGCCUUUUGCAUGGAGUAUGGCAAGACUUGCUCCAAGUAUUUUCUAGUUUUGUACAGAAGUCGGGGAGAGCGGCACCCUCCAUCUGCUGGGAUAGGCGUGAGAGUCUGAGUGCUCUCAAGAAGGUAUCUGGCUUUCGCAGGACUCACUGUGAGCCUGCACACAGGACUGACGAGGACACUUAAAGGUUUUGUUCUAAGGAUGGAGUAUUGGAAGAAUGUGGUGCACCUCGUAAUCCUGGGAAGAGGACAGAUCUGGAGUCCGUUGUGGGGUUGCUUCGUGAGAGCGGUGGUGAUCUACAGCGUCCAGCUAACGAGAUGUCUGUCCUUUAUUAAGUCGUGGGUGUGGUUUCUGUGACUUUGUCCUAACGGCUGGGCUUUCCAAGUAGUGGGAUUUUUUACAUCGCCGUAAUAGUUGGGCCCCUGAGAGUGGGCAAGUCCCGUUCUGCUGCUGAGAAGUGUGUCUCUAGCGGUUGGAGUGUGUAUUACAGGCCUAUAGGUAAAGGGUGGGGUGGUUACAGUGGGCAGCAGGUUAUUGUUAUUAAUGAUUUUUACGGGUGGAUUCCAUAUGAUGAGAUGUUAGAUCUUAUGAAUAGGUAUCCUCAUUAAGUGCCCAUAAGGAAUGCUUUUUCUGAGUUAAAUAGAUUUUUUUUUAAAUGGUAGAUAUAUUUUUAUUACUUCUAAUAGCCCUCCUUGUAUUUGGUAUUCCGAUGAGCAGUGCAUUACAAUGUUGCCUGCAUUUUAUCUGUGUGUUGAUGAGGAUUUGAGUAUGGAAAAUUGUUGUCAAUGCCCCCACAAAUUAUACACUGGCACAUCCAAAUAAUAAAAUUUUAUUUUUCACAACA
rnacentral:lncRNA from 1 species